UCGACUAUUUUUAGUAAGAACAAUACACUAUAAAAAAAAUAAUCCUUUUUUAGUUUUUUUAAUUGGAAACGUUUGUAACUUGGCAUGUAUGUAUGUUAAUGCUGUACAUGAGUAUACCAGGGCUUAUAUAUUUUUAUUAGCAAUUAGGAAAAAAAAUCAAGACGCUUUAAACGGAGCUAAACUGGGAAAACAGGAAAAAUUAGAAAAAGGCGAAAUGCAAGAUAACUGCAUGUCGUCCGAUUGUAGCUCAGAUGACCACUAUGCUGACUAUUAUAAUCGGUGUGUUUUGUCGAAUGGACAGGAUUCUGCUGGAGAGAUCAUAAGGGGUACCAGUAUCAGUAGUAGUAUUGGUGGUAACGACAUAGACCGCAGAAAAGGCGAAAUUGAAAGCGAAAUCGAAAGCGAAAUCGAAAGCGAAAUCGAAAACGAAAUCGAAAGCGAAAUUGAAAGCGAAAUCGAAAGCGAAAUUGAAAGCGAAAUUGAAAGCGAAAUCGAAAGCGAAAUCGAAGGCAAAAACAAAAACAAAAACAACAAGAAGCAUAAGAACGCUCCCCAUAAAACAAAAACACUCGAUAGCAAUAACAAAAAAAAGAAUAAUGUAAAAAUAAUAAACAGGUUUGAUAAAAUAUCUGACAACUUAAACUUUUUAUUCAGCUUAAUGACGUCCUAUUUUACAUAUGCGAGUGGAUAUCAAGUUCAGAACCGAGAGUGUGUUAUUAUGACGUCGUUUUGUAUAUUAAAUGAAUAUAUAAACAAAAGAUAUGAAGAAAAAAUAAAAAAAAAAGAAAAAAAAUAUAAAAAAUAUUCUUUAUUUUAUGAUAUUUAUAAAUAUAUUUAUAUUGCUGAAAUAUUGUAUACUAUUGCUAGAGCAUUGCAUCAGUUAUCUUAUUACAACGAAGCAACGAAAUUAUAUAUGAAUGUCAUUAAAAUUUUAAAAAAAGCAGAUAAAGAAUUAAAAACAAUUAUAUAUACUAAUAAUUUAUUAAUUAAUGAAAAUUUUAUAUUUAAUUAU
rnacentral:lncRNA from 1 species